GGGACCUUGGGGCCGAGGUGGCUGCCAGCCGGCCAAUGUCUAAGCGAGGCGGAGCGGCCCAGGCGGCCUGAGCCUGGGGGAGCGCGCAGCCGGCCAGUGGCGGCCUCGCCGGCGGCCUCUUCCCGGGCUCGCAGUAGGCCCGAGUUGUCGCCGGGAGCUCCCGGGAGCAGCGUCCACGCCCUGCUCCCCUCGCUCCCGCCUCUUGCGGCCCCACGGCCCCUCAGCGCCCGCCCCCGGCUCCGCCCGCCGCAGCCGCAGCCCCUGGCGCUAACGGUCGGUAACGGCCCGCGCGCGCCGCCCGCCGGGGGCUCGCGCCAGCCACGAGGGAGCGUCCGCGGCCCGCGCGCCCGCGCGGCGGAGGAGAGGUGUUAAGUGUGAUGCUUCCAUAAUACAUUUGGAUGUUGUCAGCUAAGUUCACUUCUGAACUAAGGGGUUCCUCCAAAUGUUGGCUGAAAUUCAUCCCAAGGCUGGUCUGCAAAGUUUACAAUUCAUAAUGGAGCUACUGUACUGGCUAUUGGAAGGAGGAGAUUCUGAAGAUAAGGAGUUCUCUUGUAGGAUGCCACUGGAAAUGUUGAAAUGAAAAAUAUUCAGCCGUCGGUCUUUGAAAUUUCCUGUGAUGUGUUUCAAUCGAGAUGCAAAGAACAUGGAAAAAUCAAAGUGCUCAAGUGGUUUAAAUAUGUUUUGGAUGUUCCUGUUUAUAGACUAUAAUACUUUUCCAAUUAAAAUCCUCAGUUGUCACGCAGAAGAAGGUUAAGCUGUAUUUGAUUGCCAGUUUUACUGAAAAUGCUUAGUAUUUUACAGUAUCACCAAAUAUAUUUUGUUUAGCCAAGGUAUAGGAAAAAU
rnacentral:lncRNA from 1 species